rnacentral:lncRNA from 1 species
UGAUUAACACUCAUAUAAUCACAAUCACUGUCUAAUCAAAGAAAGUUAUCUUCACUUGUUUCCCUUAACUGACAAUGGGUCUACCCUUAAACCAUCAUUUUCCCUUUCAGAUGGAGGACAACAACAUCUCACACCCCGCCUUCCUCAGUGUUGGAGCAAGGAUUUGACAUUCUCCUCAUUUUCUACUUUCAGUUAAUUUUAUAUUCUCUCAUCAGAAAGAGAUCCAGAAGUAGAAAAGGAAAUCAUACUUGAAGUUCUACCUCCACGUCACC